GCUACUUCGGGAUAAGCUUGGGAAACUGGGUCUAAUACCGGAUAGGAGCCAUCUUUAGUGUGGUGGUUGGAAAGUUUUUUCGGUGUAGGAUGAGCUCGCGGCCUAUCAGCUUGUUGGUGGGGUAAUGGCCUACCAAGGCGGCGACGGGUAGCCGGCCUGAGAGGGUGUACGGCCACAUUGGGACUGAGAUACGGCCCAG
rnacentral:rRNA from 1 species